UGGGGAAUCUUGCACAAUGGGGGCAACCCUGAUGCAGCGACGCCGCGUGAGCGAUGAAGCCCUUCGGGGCGUAAAGCUCUUUCGACCGGAACGAUAAUGACGGUACCGGGAGAAGAAGCUGCGGCUAACUACGUGCCAGCAGCCGCGGUAAUACGUAGGCAGCAAGCGUUGUUCGGAGUUACUGGGCGUAAAGAGUGCGUAGGCGGUUUUCUAAGUUCGGUGUGAAAUCUCCCGGCUUAACUGGGAGAGUGCGCCGAAGACUGGGAAGCUGGAGUGUGGGAAAGGCAGGCGGAAUUCCUGGUGUAGCGGUGAAAUGCGUAGAUAUCAGGAGGAACACCGGCGGUGUAGACGGCUUGCUAGACCAUAACUGACGCUGAGGCACGAAAGCGUGGGUAGCAAACA
rnacentral:rRNA from 1 species